AAAGGGAUUACACUGAUUUGUACAGUCACGAUUCAACUUUCCCGGGUGUUUUAACGCAAUUGCUGCAAGGUUCAGACAAUCUAGAACUGUACAAAAACUGGGAGGAUCCACAAACAACAACAACUUCUCAGAGCAUCAGGGGGUAUUCUCCAGCAGCCUCUCAGAGCAGCCGAGGGCAAUCUCAGAACAGCCUAGGGCAUUCUCCGGCACCAU